CAUGGCUGUCGUCAGCUCGUGUCGUGAGAUGUUGGGUUAAGUCCCGCAACGAGCGCAACCCUUGUUCUGUGUUGCCAGCAUGCCCUUCGGGGUGAUGGGGACUCACAGGAGACUGCCGGGGUCAACUCGGAGGAAGGUGGGGACGACGUCAAGUCAUCAUGCCCCUUAUGUCUUGGGCUGCACACGUGCUACAAUGGCCGGUACAAUGAGCUGCGAUGCCGUGAGGCGGAGCGAAUCUCAAAAAGCCGGUCUCAGUUCGGAUUGGGGUCUGCAACUCGACCCCAUGAAGUCGGAGUUGCUAGUAAUCGCAGAUCAGCAUUGCUGCGGUGAAUACGUUCCCGGGCCUUGUACACACCGCCCGUCACGUCACGAAAGUCGGUAACACCCGAAGCCGGUGGCCCAACCCCUUGUGGGAGGGAGCUGUCGAAGGUGGGACUGGCGAUUGGGACG
rnacentral:rRNA from 1 species